GCCUAACACAUGCAAGUCGAACGGUACAGGAAGAAGCUUGCUUCUUUGCUGACGAGUGGCGGACGGGUGAGUAAUGUCUGGGAAACUGCCUGAUGGAGGGGGAUAACUACUGGAAACGGUAGCUAAUACCGCAUAACGUCGCAAGACCAAAGAGGGGGACCUUCGGGCCUCUUGCCAUCGGAUGUGCCCAGAUGGGAUUAGCUAGUAGGUGGGGUAACGGCUCACCUAGGCGACGAUCCCUAGCUGGUCUGAGAGGAUGACCAGCCACACUGGAACUGAGACACGGUCCAGACUCCUACGGGAGGCAGCAGUGGGGAAUAUUGCACAAUGGGCGCAAGCCUGAUGCAGCCAUGCCGCGUGUAUGAAGAAGGCCUUCGGGUUGUAAAGUACUUUCAGCGGGGAGGAAGGGAGUAAAGUUAAUACCUUUGCUCAUUGACGUUACCCGCAGAAGAAGCACCGGCUAACUCCGUGCCAGCAGCCGCGGUAAUACGGAGGGUCCAAGCGUUAAUCGGAAUUACUGGGCGUAAAGCGCACGCAGGCGGUUUGUUAAGUCAGAUGUGAAAUCCCCGGGCUCAACCUGGGAACUGCAUCUGAUACUGGCAAGCUUGAAUCUCGUAGAGGGGGGUAGAAUUCCAGGUGUAGCGGUGAAAUGCGUAGAGAUCUGGAGGAAUACCCGGUGGCGAAGGCGGC
rnacentral:rRNA from 1 species